UACCUUGACAAAUUUGCAUGCAGUGAGGAGCAUUCUGGUGUUACUGAGGACACUGGGAGUUUCCAGCUUAGAAGGAAGAAGUCAGACAAAGCUCAUGGGUUUGUGGAUAUAUCCAUCCGAAUCUGCAAGGAGAAAGAUGAUAAUGGUCAGUUUUCAGGUAAACAGAAAUUUCUGUUCUGCAAGAACGGAAGUAUCUGAUUUGGCAUCUUCCAUCUGACAUGUUGACCAAAACAUUUUUUGCUGUCGGAGUGUAGGUAGAACAGAUAAUUUUGCAAAAUCAUUUGCACAUAACACUAUAAUAGUUGUCAGAAUUAAAAUAAUAAUAGUAAUAAUAGGAAAUCCAAUAAUAUUUGGGUAAUCAGAUAUGUUGCAAGAAGUCUUAUGAUAUCCAUUUUCCAGGCAAUAUCCUAACAACAUAGGCUGAUAGCAAUAACAAAAGUACAUGGUGCAUCUUAAAUGGGUACAUGCGUCCUAAAUUUGUACAGAAAAUGACCACCACAUUUUUCGUACAAAAAAGCAUGACUGCUUGAUCCAUCGUCAGGCUAAAAACAUACAGAAAUGACUAACACUUUAAUUGCUUCUUAAAACAUAACGGUGUUAGCAGAAGAACAAAUAAAUCUUAAGUUAGUACGUGGCAAAAAAGAAAAUCAGUUAGUAGGAAUGGUAGUAUACUCAUAGUAUCUAUGAUCGAGCUCUUGCAAUCAAAAGGUUAUGUUUCACAAAUAGAUCAAGUGAAAUACGAUGAGUUUCAAAAUUACAACACCAUAUUUAUUUUGAUAUGGUUCACAUACAGUUAUAUUUAACCUAUAAAUAUAACUGUUGAUUUGCAGGAUCAGGUGAAGGAUUGAAGUACCCAGAUCAGGUCGGCAUCACAUUAGCAAUAGAGGAUGGUCCAGUUUACAGUUAUCCACCAUUGCCUUCCAACCAUUACAGGGGCCGUACCAAAGAUGUCGAUCACUAUAGUAAUGCCAUGCCAGUGACUCCUAGAACUCGC
rnacentral:lncRNA from 1 species